UACGUAGGGUGCAGGCGUUAAUCGGAAUUACUGGGCGUAAAGCGUGCGCAGGCGGCCUCUUAAGUCAGAUGUGAAAUCCCCGGGCUUAACCUGGGAACUGCGUUUGAAACUGGGAGGCUUGAGUGUGGAAGAGGGGGGUGGAAUCCCAGGUGUAGCAGUGAAAUGCGUAGAGAUCUGGAGGAACACCGAUGGCGAAGGCAGCCCCCUGGGCUGACACUGACGCUCAUGCACGAAAGCGUGGGGAGCAAACCGG
rnacentral:rRNA from 1 species